UACGUAGGGGGCAAGCGUUGUCCGGAAUCAUUGGGCGUAAAGCGCGUGUAGGCGGCUGAGUAAGUCUGCUCUGAAAGCCCGGGGCUCAACCCCGGGAGGCGGGUGGAUACUGCUCAGCUCGAGUCCGGAAGAGGAGUGUGGAAUUCCUGGUGUAGCGGUGGAAUGCGCAGAUAUCAGGAGGAACACCAAUGGCGAAGGCAGCACUCUGGGACGGUACUGACGCUGAGACGCGAAAGCGUGGGGAGCAAACAGG
rnacentral:rRNA from 1 species